rnacentral:tRNA from 1 species
GUUUCAGUAGCUCAGCAGGUAGAGCACAUCCCUUUUAAGGAUGGGGUCCCGGGUUCGAAUCCCGGCUGGAACACCA